GACGAACGCUGGCGGCGUGCUUAACACAUGCAAGUCGAACGAAAAGAGGGAAAGAGCUUGCUCUUUCCGGAAUUGAGUGGCAAACGGGUGAGUAACACGUAAACAACCUGCCUUCAGGAUGGGGACAACAGACGGAAACGACUGCUAAUACCGAAUAAGUUCCAAGAGCCGCAUGGCCCAUGGAAGAAAAGGUGGCUCUACCUGUAAGCUAUCGCCUGAAGAGGGGUUUGCGUCUGAUUAGCUGGUUGGAGGGGUAACGGCCCACCAAGGCGACGAUCAGUAGCCGGUCUGAGAGGAUGAACGGCCACACUGGAACUGAGACACGGUCCAGACUCCUACGGGAGGCAGCAGUGGGGAAUCUUCCGCAAUGGGCGAAAGCCUGACGGAGAAACGCCGCGUGAGUGAUGACGGCCUUCGGGUUGUAAAACUCUGUGAUCCGGGACGAAAAGGCAGAGUGCGAAGAACAAACUGCAUUGACGGUACCGGAAAAGCAAGCCACGGCUAACUACGUG
rnacentral:rRNA from 1 species